UUUGGAUAGAUAGCCAAUUAGGGCUAGAAUGGGGCUGAUGGACCAUGAACUACAGUUAAGGAAUUGGCUUUCAUUAUUAUGGGAAUACGUGCAAGCUUAGUAGAAAUGAAAGGCUUAAGAAGUUAAAAAGUGAAGAGCUCAGAAAAGAAGCAAGACAAUUAAAACGGGAACUCUUAGCAGCAAAACAAAAAAAAGUAGAAAAUGCAGCAAAACCAGCAGAAAAAAGAAGUGAAGAGGAAGAAGCCACUCCAGAUGGUGCUGUUGCCGAAUACAGAAGAGAAAAGCAAAAGUAUGAAGCUUUGAGGAAGCAACAGUCAAAGAAGGGAACUUCCCGGGAAGAUCAGACCCUUGCACUGCUGAACCAGUUUAAAUCUAAACUCACUCAAGCAAUUGCUGAAACGCCUGAAAAUGACAUUCCUGAAACAGAAGUAGAAGACGAUGAAGGAUGGAUGUCACAUGUACUUCAGUUUGAGGAUAAAAGCAGAAAAGUGAAAGAUGCAAGCAUGCAAGACUCAGAUACAUUUGAAAUCUAUGAUCCUCGGAAUCCAGUGAAUAAAAGAAGGAGGGAAGAAAGCAAAAAGCUGAUGAGAGAGAAAAAAGAAAGAAGAUAAAAUGAGAAUAAUGAUAACCAGAACUUGCUGGAAAUGUGCCUGCAAUGGCCUUGUAACAGCCAUUGUUCCCAACAGCAUCACUUAGGGGUGUGAAAAAAAGUAUUUUUGAACCUGUUGUCUGGUUUUGAAAAACAAUUAUCUUGUUUUGCAAAUUGUGGAAUGAUGUAAGCAAAUGCUUUUGGUUACUGGUACAUGUGUUUUUUCCUAGCUGACCUUUUAUAUUGCUAAAUCUGAAAUAAAAUUACACAUUUCAUGUUAACC
rnacentral:sRNA from 1 species